rnacentral:rRNA from 1 species
UCGAGAAUCUUUUACAAUGGACGCAAGUCUGAUAAUGCGACGCCGCGUGAGGGAUGAAGGCUUUCGAGUUGUAAACCUCUUUUAUUAAGGAGGAAAGCCAAGAGAUGAAUAGUCUAUUUGGUUUGACUGUACUUAAGGAAUAAGCCACGGCUAACUCCGUGCCAGCAGCCGCGGUAAUACGGAGGUGGCUAGCGUUACUCGGAAUGACUGGGUGUAAAGGGUCCGCAGGCGGUCUAACAAGUGAACGGUGAAAUCUCCCGGCUUAACCGGGAAAGUGCCUUUCAAACUGUUAGGCUUGAGGUUGGGAGAGGAGAGUGGAACUGCCGGUGUAAAGGUGAAAUUUGUGGAUAUCGGCAGGAACGCCCGUGGAGUAAUCGGCUCUCUGGCCCACACCUGACGC